AACGCGAAGAACCUUACCUGGGCUCGAAAUGUAGUGGACCGGAGUAGAAAUAUUCCUUCUCAGCAAUGGGCCGCUAUAUAGGUGCUGCAUGGCUGUCGUCAGCUCGUGUCGUGAGAUGUUGGGUUAAGUCCCGCAACGAGCGCAACCCUUAUCCCCAGUUGCCAUCAUUUAGUUGGGCACUCUGGUGAAACCGCCUCGGAUAACGGGGAGGAAGGUGGGGAUGACGUCAAGUCCUCAUGGCCUUUAUGUCCAGGGCUACACACGUGCUACAAUGGCCGGUACAAACCGUCGCAAACCCGCGAGGGGGAGCUAAUCGGAAAAAGCCGGCCUCAGUUCGGAUUAGAGUCUGCAACUCGACUCUAUGAAGCUGGAAUCGCUAGUAAUCGCGGAUCAGAACGCCGCGGUGAAUACGUUCCCGGGCCUUGUACACACCGGCUAC
rnacentral:rRNA from 1 species